rnacentral:ncRNA from 2 species
UUGUAUAUUGAUGAGCCAGGUGCCCGCAAGGGCUUAAUAGGGAAGACCGGUGUAAUGCCGGCGCGGUCCCGCCACUGUAAUGGGGAGUGAACCCAAGGUAUGCCACUGGGACGAAGGUCUCGGGAAGGUUUGGGCAAGCUAUGAGCCAGAGCCAGGAGAACUGCCUGUCUAAAGAUCGCCGU